rnacentral:rRNA from 1 species
UCUGGUUGAUCCUGCCAGUAGUCAUAUGCUUGUCUCAAAGAUUAAGCCAUGCAUGUCUAAGUAUAAGCAAUUUAUACAGUGAAACUGCGAAUGGCUCAUUAAAUCAGUUAUCGUUUAUUUGAUAGUUCCUUUACUACAUGGUAUAACUGUAGUAAUUCUAGAGCUAAUACAUGCUUAAAAUCUCGACCCUUUGGAAGAGAUGUAUUUAUUAGAUAAAAAAUCAAUGUCUUCGGACUCUUUGAUGAUUCAUAAUAACUUUUCGAAUCGCAUGGCCUUGUGCUGGCGAUGGUUCAUUCAAAUUUCUGCCCUAUCAACUUUCGAUGGUAGGAUAGUGGCCUACCAUGGUUUCAACGGGUAACGGGGAAUAAGGGUUCGAUUCCGGAGAGGGAGCCUGAGAAACGGCUACCACAUCCAAGGAAGGCAGCAGGCGCGCAAAUUACCCAAUCCUAAUUCAGGGAGGUAGUGACAAUAAAUAACGAUACAGGGCCCAUUCGGGUCUUGUAAUUGGAAUGAGUACAAUGUAAAUACCUUAACGAGGAACAAUUGGAGGGCAAGUCUGGUA